rnacentral:misc_RNA from 1 species
GCAGCCUGGAAACAUAAUCAAAUGAUCAAAUAAGCGUUUUAGGCCAGGGCUCAACCCAGCAAUCUGUGAGCACAUGUGAAUUGAGGAAGUAUCAUUCCUACUGAACAAAUAUUUAUCUUGUCACAUCUACCCAAAGAACAAUAGUGCCUAUAGGUUAUAGCAUUUUACAGGUUGCAAUUGAUUGUAAUUAAUUCCACCAAGUAAUAACGUAACUACAUUUUAAUUAAGAAUGAAAAACAAAAGUCUACAACUACCGUAAAAAUGUUACAUUAAACCCAUUUUAUGAACCGCUUUAGUGUUACUUGUAGCCUUAUAUGAAUUGUUCAGCAGGAGAAGGCAAGAAGCAUUGCAAAAUAUAGCAAUUUGUAUGGAGAUUUACAACAGUGUAAGCAAUCAACUGUUCUCACCAGAACUUUGCCAGUCGAAAACCUAAAAGCAAAGUAGUCAAUCUGAAAUGCUAAGAUUCUUAAGAGUGCAUUGAUGAUUUUCAUAUUUAUACUUCUAAUUUUAUGGUAAUAUAAUAUUGGAAGAAAUAUUCAAGAUUUCCAUCAUAUUUAGGAUAGGGAAACAGUCAUCAAAAAAUAAAAAACAAUUAGAUACCAACCCAAAAUUAAACUCAUUGAAUAUAGUGGAAUCAGGACAGAAGUUUGAGGCUGGAGAUGAUGAACGGUUAUUUGGGUUUGUUUUUUUUUUU